GCGGAAGUGGCGGAACUGGCAGACGCGUACGGCUCAGAACCGUAUGGGUAAUUCCUUAAGGGGUUCGACUCCCUUCUUCCGCACCA
rnacentral:tRNA from 1 species